rnacentral:rRNA from 1 species
UUGGAGGGCAAGUCUGGUGCCAGCAGCCGCGGUAAUUCCAGCUCCAAUAGCGUAUAUUAAAGUUGUUGCAGUUAAAAAGCUCGUAGUUGAAUUUCGGGGUCAGUAGGUUGGUCAUGCCACUGGUAUGUACUGGUCUCACUGAUUCCUCCUUCCUGAUGAACUGUAAUGCCAUUAAUUUGGUGUUGCAGGGAGUCUGGACUGUUACUUUGAAAAAAUUAGAGUGUUUAAAGCAGGCUAACGCCUGAAUACAUUAGCAUGGAAUAAUGAAAUAGGACGUUCGAUCCUAUUUUGUUGGUUUCUAGGAUUGACGUAAUGAUUAAUAGGGAUAGUUGGGGGCAUUAGUACUCAAUUGUCAGAGGUGAGAUUCUUGGAUUUAUUGAAGACUAACUUCUGCGAAAGCAUUUGCCAAGGAUGUUUUCAUUAAUCAAGAACGAAAGUUAGGGGAUCGAAGACGAUCAGAUACCGUCGUAGUCUUAACCAUAAACUAUGCCGACUAGGGAUCGGACGAUGUUAAUUUUUUAAUGACUCGUUCGGCGCCUUACGGGAAAC